rnacentral:tRNA from 16 species
UGGGGAUUAGCCAAGUCGGUAAGGCACAUGACUUUGACUCAUGUAUGCGUAGGUUCGA